rnacentral:rRNA from 1 species
CCUACGGGAGGCAGCAGUGGGGAAUAUUGGUCAAUGGACGAGAGUCUGAACCAGCCAAGUAGCGUGAAGGAUGACUGCCCUAUGGGUGGUAAACUUCUUUUAUAUGGGAGUAAGAUGUUCCACGUGAGUGAUUUUGUAUUUACCGUAUGAAUAAGGAUCGGCUAACUCCGCGCCAGCAGCCGCGGUAAUACGGAGGGUCCGAGCGUUAUCCGGAUUUAUUGGGUUUAAAGGGAGCGUAGGCGGAUUGUUAAGUCAGUUGUGAAAGUUUGCGGCUCAACCGUAAAAUUGCAGUUGAAACUGGUAGUCUUGAGUACAGUAGAGGUGGGUGGAAUUCGAGGUGUAGCGGUGAAAUGCUUAGAUA